rnacentral:rRNA from 1 species
UACGGGGGGAGCAAGCGUUGUUCGGAAUCACUGGGCGUAAAGGGCGUGUAGGCGGUCAGGUAAGUGGGAUGUGAAAUGCCCCGGCUCACCCGGGGACCGGCAUCCCAUACUGCUUGGCUUGAGUACGGGAGAGGAUGUGGGAAUUCCUGGUGUAGCGGUGAAAUGCGUAGAUAUCAGGAGGAACACCGGUGGCGAAGGCGCACAUCUGGCCCGAUACUGACGCUGAGGCGCGAAAGCUAGGGGAGCAAACGGG